rnacentral:rRNA from 1 species
GACGAACGCUGGCGGUGUGCUUAACACAUGCAAGUCGAACGGUAAGGCCCUUUCGGGGGUACACGAGUGGCGAACGGGUGAGUAACACGUGAGUAACCUGCCCUCAUCUCUGGGAUAACAGUCGGAAACGGUUGCUAAUACUGGAUAUGAGCUUGCAAGGCAUCUUGUGGGUUGGAAAGAUUUUUUUUGGUUGGGGAUGGACUCGCGGCCUAUCAGCUUGUUGGUGAGGUAGUGGCUCACCAAGGCUUCGACGGGUAGCCGGCCUGAGAGGGCGACCGGCCACAGUGGGACUGAGAUACGGCGCAAACUCCUACGGGAGGCAGCAGGGGGGAAUAUUGCACAAUGGACGGAAGUCUGAUGCAGCAACGCCGCGUGCGGGAUGACGGCCCUCGGGUUGUAAACCGCUUUCAAUUGUGACGAAGCUUUUUUGUGACGGUAGCAGUAGAAGAAGCACCGGCUAACUACGUG